UCCACCGCAAGGUGGAAUCUGAAGGAAGCCUGCGGCAAACCGCCGAGCCGAGGAACACGAAUCUCAUACGAGGCGGGUUGCGUGGAGUGAGUGUGCUGAAGAACACAAAGCUCAUCCCAACACGGCAGCGCAGCACGUAUAUGAGGCGGCUACAUGGCGGGAAAGACGUGCGU
rfam:Ectothiorhodospira sp. PHS-1 contig069, whole genome shotgun sequence.